rnacentral:misc_RNA from 1 species
UUUUAACUCACAGCAAUUGGAACAUCCUUUCCUUUUCCCUGCCCAAAGUGCACAAGCAUAAGCAAUCAAUAAGCCCCCAUCUCAUCUUUUCUUAUCUGCCUCUGCCUCUUUCCUUCUCUUCCUUCAAUUCUUUCUUCUCUUUGAUUCUCUUCUUCUUCUAUAUAUAUUUAUAUAUAUCCUCUUGUUGGAGAGGGUUGGUUGGGUUUUAAGGUAUUUUGCUGUCUAUGAGGAUGGAACAUUAAAGUGGAAGAGCCACGAUAUGACAAAUGCAAAUACCAUGCAAGCAAGCAAAAAAUUCAGGAAGCGAUGGCCAUGCCAGAAACUUCGAGUUUCCGAAUGGUGUGUCGAUGCAGGGACUGCAGCCACUGCCGUAGAAUUGUUGGUCUCAUUUGAAUGCUCUAUCAUCUCGAUCUCAUUUACUCCAACGACAUUACGAGCAAUGGAAUGACAAAUCUCACAGGUCCUGAUAGAUAUCAAGUAUGAUAAAUGAAUAUACAAAAAGAGAAAUAAAUUAUAGAACAAAAAUGAGAUCAAGUUUUCAUUAUCAAAAGGAAAAUUUUUAAUAUUUGUAACAUGUUUUGGAGUUCAAAAGAGAAAUCAACUACAUCUAUUAAGUAACAGAUGUCUCCUUCAGAGUGAAAAAACUCAAAACAGCAUAACAAUUCCCAGCAAGCUGGAAAAAAGAAAAAAAAUGCAAGCACAAUCCAGAUUAAAGAGGCUAAUUAAUAUUGAACAAGGUCUAGGAUGAAAAUGAAGAAGUGAUGAAAGGAAAUAUUUAUGCCAAACAUGUCAAUACAACAGAUCAAUUUUUGGAAAUUUACCAAGACAUCAAACUGCUACAGUUACAAGCAAAAGAUUUGAAACAUAAGAAAUGCUUAGACGAAGAAUUGGCAGAAAGUUAAGGAUUGGAAUAUUUCUAAAACACAAAAUACUUUGCAUACAAUGUCGCCUUCAAAAUCAGCUUAAGAAUAAUUAGUUAAUGUUGAAUUUCAUGAUGGCGUAGGAUUAAAAAUAUAUACCGCAUAUUUUAUAAUAUGCUUUCAAAUGACAAAAACAAUUUUCCAUAUAGGGAGAAAUAAGAUCGAAUGUGAGGUCCUUGCCAUUGCUAUUAAAAGCAUGCAUUUUUAUUUCCCUUUCAACUCAACAUGAAUUCCUGGAUUGACCAUUACCUUUUUUCGGUUUCCAGAUAAAAACUUGCCCCACCAGAUUGCUUUGCCCUGUCAAGUUUAAAAUAAUAUCCAAUCUAAAACUACAGCAAUCAUUUUUCCAACAUCUAAUAAAGAUCACAACCAUACAGACUGGUAAGGAAUUGUCGGUGCAAUUAGACAUAUCAUGAGGACUUGUGUCCUACUGCUCUCUAAUCUUUUGCUUUACUUUUUCCAUAAACUUGAUCAGGAAACGCAAUUUUCCACCACUUUAACUUUAUGUUACAAGUGAUCAGAGUCUCUAACCUUAUAUUAUGUUUCACAUCCAAUUUAACUAUAUUCAGAUACAGCCAACCUUUCGUUCUUUUUUUCUUUUGCAUCUUUAAUGAGCGAUUAUCAUUAGCAUUCCUUGAAGAAAAGGAAAACUCAACUGCUGAACUGUCAGUAAGUACUAUAGGCACUCGUUAGACUAUUAGGAACAGAUAAAUAAAUCAUUUAUUAUAUCAGAAAAUGCAUGAACAUGACACUACCAUAUUAACAAAAUUUACAAUCCAAAUAAUGUUUUUUUUUUAAAAAAAAGGGGGGCAAAGCACUUAAUUUUUCUACUUACUUGUUUCCUUUAAUUUUGAACCAAGCCUCAGCACACUGUUUAUGAGCAGCAGCCAAAUCGUCCUUACAGGAACAGCCCAAUUCAAUUGGAACCCCGGAUUCAUAGCUAUUGCUUUCCAGACCCAGAUGGCAUAUCCUACAAUCUCUCUCAACCUCAACCUUAGCCAAAUGCACCUUUAUCUCAGCUACCCGACUUUCAAUCUCCACCUCCACAGAGCAAUCAGACACAGAAGAUACUCUCCUAGAAUCCGGAACGACGCCGUCUACAAUCUCAGGAUCAGAUACACAAGCGAAAGUGUAUUCGUCAUAGGAGCCACCCGUGGAUGAAUAAAACUGAGAGUAGCAAGACCCGUCUUCUGCAUCGAAAAAGCAGGUGACAUCACUUCCUGUGACGGAACGGCGGUGGCUCCCCCGCUCCAAAUCGAUGUGGGACAUUUCUAAAGCAGACAUUUUUUUUUAAAAAAAUUAAUCUGGAAUGAAGAACUUGCUUAAAGAAACUUGGGUCUUGGGGCGAAAAGAUUGAAUGUAAAUACUUAUAGUUUGGAGCUCUGGGUGAUGCCAAGAAUCAAGAAGUUAAUAAAUGGGUAUUGGAUUAGGUGACCCUGCAACUCCAUCAACAUUUACUUUCGCUAACCAAAAUCAAAAGCUCAAAAGAGAAAAUUAUUGAAUAUUAAUUAUUGAAGAAAGCAAGUAGGAGAGAGAGAGAGAGAGAG